UCUUUUUUUUUUUUCCCUUUUCCUCCACUGUGGUGUAUUUUCAGUUUUUGGUUGAUCUGGGGGGUUUUAUUGUGAGAUUGCUGUAAAUCUGGUAAGUCAUCACCCAAGUUGGGAGAGCUGCAUUGUUAAAAACUUUGAAUUGUUUGAACUGUCACAAAUUUUGAGAAAAAUUUCCCUCUCCUGCCCUGUACGUCUGAAGUGAACUGGACACCCCGCAGGAAGAAAUGGAAGUGGUAAAGGCUUGGAAGGUCUAACAACCGGCCGGGCUAAAUGAAGUUUUACAGAUUCCUGAAACGAAAUGUCCUCUUGUUAUUCCCAUGUCUCAGAGAGAAAGGAGCUAUUUCUGUCCAACCCAUAAAUGAUUUCAGCUCUGUAGCGCUAAAGAAAACUGACUUAUCAUCUGGCCCACUUCCUAAAGAAAAAUCAUCCGAGUCAGAAAAAGUAGCAAGAUGGAGCAGGUGAGGAAGAGGGAUAUCGGUCAAGGUCUGAACUGCUCUCUAGGACUACUCCUGAGACACAGCCUGAAUCUCACGCGCUUGUAAGUCGUGCUCUGCUCCUGACACACCGUGGAACACAGUAAGUAACUUGUCAUGCCUCUAAGUUCAAGGGCUGCUCUCUGUUGGAAGGAUUUUAUUUUAUAUCUAUUGUUUCUGCAGGUGACUGGAAUUCAAGACAAUCUUGAGUAGUGUGGCCAGAGCAGCUUUCCAGUCUGUUUCCCAAGCGUUGUGCUGGUAGAGCGACUGCUUGGAAAUCGAGAGGAUGCAAGAGCCAAAUUCUUGUGCUGGCAAGGGCCAGAAGAGAGAAUGAAGACUAUAGAACUAAUGAGGUACAUGCUCCGGGCUCCAUGGCUGUACCCCCUAGGGCACCAGCUGCACCUGCCUGGGAAGAGAUGCUACCUGGAAAGUUGCUACCUUCUCUUUCUUCCACUUCAGGCCCGUGCUUUGGGAGCAAACAGAAGCAGCUGCGGUGUGCAGGCCAUACUGAAAGGCAGCCUGGCUGCCAUACCAAAGACCUGUCCUAGUCUUCCUUCAAGCAAGCCCAAGCUGAUGGACCUUAAAAGACAGCGCCUGAAUUCCUCUAGAAGGAUUCUCACAGCAGGUGCUUCUGGAGAAUGGUUAUGUGGAGCAGAUAUGAACGUAAGUCAUCCAUGUCACAGGGUGUUCACCACAGUUCUGUCCCAAACACAGGCCUCGCUGACUUGCACUUGGAAGCAGCAGUCCCACGUACUUAUUUCUAGGAUUUCUGAAUUUGGAUAUAACUCUACAGUUACUUUCUAGCAGUUUAUCUACCUCCUGACUAUUGCUUUCAGCAGCUGAGAUAACCUCCUAGAGGACUUUGGGAUCUUUGUAAUGGAUGAUUAAUACAUAUUUUUUUAAAUGUAAGAUUUUAAGUAAAAAUUCUUUUGUGAGAUUUGUUUUUUAAUAACUUAGUUGGUAGCCUGGUUGGUGGCUUUACUUUAAUGCUUCCCCUCAAGUGUAAUUUGAGUGUCUAAUAAUUUAUGCCUACACUGACAAAGGUCUUGUUCUCAACUGCAAUUUCACUUUGGUUCUUGUAUUUCCCUCCAGCCAGUGGGACCUGUCAAGCCUGCAGAACCUUCCCAGCAGCAGAAAGCGGAAUAGCCACGUCGUCUUGUCCCAGGCAGCAGCCUGAACACAGCUGGGAUGCUCAGCGUAGGCCCAGAAGCUGGCCAGCACUCACAGACCCUGAAAUCCAGUCACAGCCUUAGUUUCCGGUUCUCACUUAGAACAGAGCAGCCAGUCACACAGAAAUGCUUCAAGUGUAAGUUCAAUUGAACUGGUUUUUGAACUAGUUACACUGUUAUCCAUGGCCAAUCAAUAUAAAUUCUUUUCUGGCCAUAGAUUCAGUCACAAACUUGUCCUAAAUAUGUGCUUUUAUCCAGCUUCAGGAUACUGAAUGCCUUCAAUGUCAUCUCUGUGCGCACCUGUUCCACUGGUGCUAUUUAAAGUGUUUGGGUGGCUAACCCUGUGAGAUGUUGUGUACAGCUCUGGGACCGUUGCGAUGGAUUCUUUCUUCUUCUCUACUGAACAGGGAGAUGAGGUGACCACCACCCUCAGAAUUUAUUACUUAAACUGCAAUUUCUAAUGCUAAUCUUGCCAAACUCCUUAAAAUACAACAGUUUAGGAUCACUGUCAAGCCUUGGGUCUCCUGUCUUUACCUUUUUCUAUUUUUAUUUAUCUUCCAUCUAUCUACUUUCAAACCAACAUUCUGUUAUGCAAUAUUUAGUUACUGCUUUUCAUCGGCUAUAUGGAAAUAGCUUUGUUCUUGGAUUCUGAGAAACUAUCCAAAUUCACAUUCCCGUAGUGGCCCCCGAAGUGAGCUUAAGCUGCUGCUUGGUCCAGGUCAGCAGGACAAAAGGGAAGAGGAAGGUUCUGUUAAUGCCUUCUGUAUUGCCUCAUUGUUAAAACAUGCAAAAUACAUCAUAUGAGAGAAAGAACUGGAAUGUUGACUAGUGACAUUGUGAUGCUUUGGUACCUGUAGAGGCCUUGAGGUAAACCUUGUUUUAUACAGCAGUUUGAACCUUAUAGUCAAUCGUGUGAAAGAUUUAGCAUGUCUAUCAGUAUAACAUUUAGAUUCCUCUCUCAGCCUGUUUUUUAAUAGGUCAUUUUAACAUUAACUGCUCAUACAGCCUACGCUGAAAAAAGUCUAGUCUCAGGCCUUUCCGUACUGAUUCACCCAAAGCUUUUAAAUCAUGGGCAUGUUUAUCUGAAAGAUGCCUUGGAGCAUGAAAGAACCUAAGCUUUCAAAGAUACAGGGAGGGGGGCUGUGUAUAACUGAAUCAACAGCACCCAAGGACACAUGUUUUUUCCCCUAUUUACACACCUGGGCAUCAAGCACAGCAGAUGUAGCUGGUGGAUGAGGUGGACGGUUUCUCUUGCUGCAGCAAGGCUUGAAUCCCAACCCUAAGGAACAGUGUGUUGGACUGCUUUCACCUGCCUCUCAGGAAGCCACAGUCUUUGCAGGGCCUUCUGGUAUCGCACUAGCCAGCAUACAGGCAUGUAAAUAAAAUAUCAUCUAAAUAAAACCUCUGAGCAUUUACAGGGACACGGGUCUCGUCAUAAUAAAGAAAACAAUGUCAGUUCCAUACCAUUUAUGACCAGGGCAGCAUCUCCAGGGAAUGCAGUUUGUUUUCUUGGACAGGCUGCAAUCACAGCUUUGCAACUGUGCUGGAAUUCCAGACAGCAGGACAUAGCUUUCCAGAGCAUGAUAUACCCACACGGGGCCCUGUCAAACCGGUCAUCCCAGCAUCUCUAUCAAGCUGCUAAGUGCAGUUUCUGGUCCCAAAAAGUGUGGUUUUAAAACCUGGCUUAUUUAAGUCUACUACAGUAAAGGUCUUCUCACAGAGUUUUUAAAAUGGGUUUUUAAACACCGACACCACCCUGCAAGGAGCUGAAAUGUAAUGGUAAG